rnacentral:sRNA from 1 species
CUGGGUGAGGUCGAGUGACAGGUCGAGUAACAGAAAGAAAGUAUAACAGGGAUACUCGACUGCACAGUCUGUUGCCAGACAACUGGGUGGUCGAGUAUCAGGUCGAGUAAGAGUAAAGAAUUGGAGAAACUAAGCAACAGAUAACAAGAUGCAGUAGACGACAAUAGAGUAAACAAAGAAUUCAAUCAGAUAAAGAAUUCCCGAGGAUGGGGUAAUUGAGUAUUUUCGUUUUCUCAGUUUACAGGUGAUCGACAUGCUCAAUAAAUUAACCCUAGACAACAAGUUCAUUAACCAAAUCUAAGUGCCACCGCAACAGAGACUCUCAAGUUAACCUAGUCCUAGACUCAAUCACCAUUGACGAGAGCUAACCUAACAGACAUUACAAAUCAACAAGUUAAAGCCAAAACGCUCCCUGCAACCAAUACCUUGGUACAGGGUCACGAAUCUCUGGAAUUAGUGGUUCAGACAUUUCAUCGAACACCUUUUGGGCGCGGAAAUGUCUUGGCUCAAAUUCCAGUUGAUCAGAAAGCAAUAGGCAUUAAGAACAACUAAUCCAGAAGGGAUCUAUCAACCAAUACUCAAUCACCUAGCAUACUGAGAAUUCUACACUACUCUAACCCAUCCUCAGAAACCUAUUCACUACUCAGACAUCAUAACAGAAAGCAUAAACGUUGAACAAGUUGAAAACAUGAUAACAAUAGUGUAACAGCAGGAUGAAAACAGAAUGAACAACAGUAAACGAAAUGAAGAACAGAAACUGAAUACUGAAUACUGAAUAGAUAAAGAGAAAUCCGGAUUACAAAAGGUCUAGAACACAAGGUCUGCGGAAUAAAACUAGACA